rnacentral:rRNA from 1 species
GUGAGGAAUAUUGGGCAAUGGGCGCAAGCCUGACCCAGCAACGCCGCGUGAAGGAAGACGGUCUUCGGAUUGUAAACUUCUUUUGUCAGGGACGAAUAAUGACGGUACCUGGCGAAUAAGCCACGGCUAACUACGUGCCAGCAGCCGCGGUAAUACGUAGGUGGCAAGCGUUGUCCGGAUUUACUGGGUGUAAAGGGCGAGUAGGCGGAUUUGCAAGUCAGGUGUGAAAGCCCGGGGCUUAACCCCGGGUCUGCAUUUGAAACUGCGGAUCUUGAGUAUCGGAGAGGCAGGCGGAAUUCCCGGUGUAGCGGUGGAAUGCGUAGAUAUCGGGAGGAACACCAGUGGCGAAGGCGGCCUGCUGGACGACAACUGACGCUGAGGAGCGAAAGCGUGGGGAGCAAACAGGAUUAGAAACCCUGGUAGUCC